rnacentral:rRNA from 1 species
CGGGGGGAGGCAAGCGUUGUUCGGAUUUACUGGGCGUAAAGGGCGCGUAGGCGGCCACCGCAAGUCGACUGUGAAAUCUCCGGGCUUAACCCGGAAAGGUCAGCCGAUACUGCGGGGCUAGAGUGGCAGAAGGGGCAACUGGAAUUCUCGGUGUAGCGGUGAAAUGCGUAGAUAUCGAGAGGAACACCUGCGGCGAAGGCGGGUUGCUGGGCUGACACUGACGCUGAGGCGCGAAAGCUAGGGGAGCGAACGGGAUUAGAUACCCCGGUAGUCCUAGCCUUAAACGAUGAAUGCUUGGUGUCUGGGGUUUUAUAGUCCCCGGGUGCCGUCGCUAACGCUUUAAGCAUUCCGCCUGGGAGUACGGUCGCAAGACUG